rnacentral:lncRNA from 1 species
AUUGCUUCAUAUCCUCAGAAUAUUGCUACCAAGCACUAAUUGACAUGCUCUGAUUGUUUUGCAUUCACCAAUAUAUCAUACGUAUAAACUUGAGUUAAGGUAUUAUCAACAGGAUGCAAAGCUAUUAACAUCAUCAGCCUUCCUACUGAAGAAUUUAUUAUAUUUCUCCAUCCGAAUGUAUAAUACACUAUAGACAAAAUACUUCUAAUCUGUUCUCUACUAGAUCCCAUCCCUCCCCUCCCCCCACUUCUAAUCUUUACUGAAGAAUCUACUUCUAAGCUGUUCUCUACUAGAUCACAUCCCUUCCCUCAAAACAAAACAAAAAAAAAGGGAAAAAAGUUUUCACACCCCACUUGUUUUCUAGUGAAAUUAAUUGUACAAGGACCUAGAGUUGCAGCUAGCACAGAUUCAAGCCAUUUCACAUUGAUUGGCACUUAAGAUACUCCUGUCUUGGUAGAAGGGCCCAUCAAACCCUAGCCAUU